rnacentral:tRNA from 1 species
CAGGGAAUAUAUCAAUGUAGAUUAUCUGCUUUGGGAGUAGAAGGUUGUGGGUUCAAGUCCCAUUCCCCUGA